GAUGAAGAACGCAGCGAAAUGCGAUAAGUAAUGUGAAUUGCAGAAUUCCGUGAAUCAUCGAAUCUUUGAACGUACAUUGCGCCCCCUGGCAUUCCGGGGGGCAUGCCUGUCCGAGCGUCAUUUCUGCCCUCCAGCCCGGCUGGGUGUUGGGCGCUGUCCCCCCGGGGACACGCCCCAAAGGCAGUGGCGGCGCCGCGUCGGGUCCUCGAGCGUAUGGGGCUUUGUCACCCGCUCGGGACGGACUCGUCGGCGCUGGUCUUCCUCCAGGCGACCCUUCGGGGCUCGUCUUCCUUCGGUUGACCUCGGAUCAGGUAGGGUUACCCGCUGAACUUAAGCAUAUCAAUAAGCGGAGGA
rnacentral:misc_RNA from 1 species